rnacentral:rRNA from 1 species
GAUGAACGCUGGCGGCGUGCCUAAUACAUGCAAGUCGAGCGAACAGACGCCUAGCUUGCUUGUCUGAUGUUAGCGGCGGACGUAUUAGUAACACAUGGAUAACCUACCUAUAAGACUGGGAUAACUUCGGGAAACCGGAGCUAAUACCGGCUAAUAUUUUGAACGGCAUGGUUAAAAAGUGAAAGACGGUUUUGCUGUCACUUAUAGCUGGAUCCGCGCUGGAUUAGCUAGUUGGUAAGGUAACGGCCUACCAAGGCAACGAUGCGUAGCCGACCUGAGAGGACGACCAGCCACACUGGGACUGAGACACGGCCCAGACUCCUACGGGAGGCAGCAGUAGGGAAUCUUCCGCAAUGGGCGAAAGCCUGACGGAGCAAUGCCGCGUGAGUGAUGAAGGUCUUCGGGUCGUAAACCUCUGUUAGUAGGGAAGAACAGAUGUGUAAGUAACUCGGCACCUAUUGACGGUACCUAAACAGAAAGCCACGGCUAACUACGUG